AGCGUACACGGUGGAUGCCCUGGCAGUCAGAGGCGAUGAAGGACGUGCUAAUCUGCGAUAAGCGCCGGUAAGGUGAUAUGAACCGUUAUAACCGGCGAUUUCCGAAUGGGGAAACCCAGUGUGAUUCGUCACACUAUCAUUAACUGAAUCCAUAGGUUAAUGAGGCGAACCGGGGGAACUGAAACAUCUAAGUACCCCGAGGAAAAGAAAUCAACCGAGAUUCCCCCAGUAGCGGCGAGCGAACGGGGAGGAGCCCAGAGCCUGAAUCAGCAUGUGUGUUAGUGGAAGCGUCUGGAAAGGUGCGCGAUACAGGGUGACAGCCCCGUACACAAAAGCGCAUGUGCUGUGAGCUCGAUGAGUAGGGCGGGACACGUGGUAUCCUGUCUGAAUAUGGGGGGACCAUCCUCCAAGGCUAAAUACUCCUGACUGACCGAUAGUGAACCAGUACCGUGAGGGAAAGGCGAAAAGAACCCCGGCGAGGGGAGUGAAAAAGAACCUGAAACCGUGUACGUACAAGCAGUGGGAGCACAGGUUUACCUGUGUGACUGCGUACCUUUUGUAUAAUGGGUCAGCGACUUAUAUUCUGUAGCAAGGUUAACCGUAUAGGGGAGCCGUAGGGAAACCGAGUCUUAACCGGGCGUUAAGUUGCAGGGUAUAGACCCGAAACCCGGUGAUCUAGCCAUGGGCAGGUUGAAGGUUGGGUAACACUAACUGGAGGACCGAACCGACUAAUGUUGAAAAAUUAGCGGAUGACCUGUGGCUGGGGGUGAAAGGCCAAUCAAACCGGGAGAUAGCUGGUUCUCCCCGAAAGCUAUUUAGGUAGCGCCUCGUGAAUUCAUCUCCGGGGGUAGAGCACUGUUUCGGCUAGGGGGCCAUCCCGGCUUACCAACCCGAUGCAAACUGCGAAUACCGGAGAAUGUUAUCACGGGAGACACACGGCGGGUGCUAACGUCCGUCGUGAAGAGGGAAACAACCCAGACCGCCAGCUAAGGUCCCAAAGUCAUGGUUAAGUGGGAAACGAUGUGGGAAGGCCCAGACAGCCAGGAUGUUGGCUUAGAAGCAGCCAUCAUUUAAAGAAAGCGUAAUAGCUCACUGGUCGAGUCGGCCUGCGCGGAAGAUGUAACGGGGCUAAACCAUGCACCGAAGCUGCGGCAGCGAACGUAUCACUUAAAGCGAUUCAGCGGGUUACGAUUGACGGAGCGAAGCGACGUCAAAGCGUAUACAAAGUCGAGUCGGUUUAAGGAUACGUUCGUUGGGUAGGGGAGCGUUCUGUAAGCCCGUGAAGGUGGCCUGUGAGGGUUGCUGGAGGUAUCAGAAGUGCGAAUGCUGACAUAAGUAACGAUAAAGCGGGUGAAAAGCCCGCUCGCCGGAAGACCAAGGGUUCCUGUCCAACGUUAAUCGGGGCAGGGUGAGUCGACCCCUAAGGCGAGGCCGAAAGGCGUAGUCGAUGGGAAACGGGUUAAUAUUCCCGUACUUGGUGUUACUGCGAAGGGGGGACGGAGAAGGCUAUGUUGGCCGGGCGACGGUUGUCCCGGUUUAAGCGUGUAGGUGUGUGUUCCAGGUAAAUCCGGUUCACUUUAACACUGAGGCGUGACGACGAGGCACUACGGUGCUGAAGCAACAAAUGCCCUGCUUCCAGGAAAAGCCUCUAAGCAUCAGGUAACAUCAAAUCGUACCCCAAACCGACACAGGUGGUCAGGUAGAGAAUACCAAGGCGCUUGAGAGAACUCGGGUGAAGGAACUAGGCAAAAUGGUGCCGUAACUUCGGGAGAAGGCACGCUGACACGUAGGUGAAGUGAUUUACUCAUGGAGCUGAAGUCAGUCGAAGAUACCAGCUGGCUGCAACUGUUUAUUAAAAACACAGCACUGUGCAAACACGAAAGUGGACGUAUACGGUGUGACGCCUGCCCGGUGCCGGAAGGUUAAUUGAUGGGGUCAGCGCAAGCGAAGCUCCUGAUCGAAGCCCCGGUAAACGGCGGCCGUAACUAUAACGGUCCUAAGGUAGCGAAAUUCCUUGUCGGGUAAGUUCCGACCUGCACGAAUGGCGUAAUGAUGGCCAGGCUGUCUCCACCCGAGACUCAGUGAAAUUGAACUCGCUGUGAAGAUGCAGUGUACCCGCGGCAAGACGGAAAGACCCCGUGAACCUUUACUAUAGCUUGACACUGAACAUUGAGCCUUGAUGUGUAGGAUAGGUGGGAGGCUUUGAAGUGUGGACGCCAGUCUGCAUGGAGCCGACCUUGAAAUACCACCCUUUAAUGUUUGAUGUUCUAACGUGGACCCGUAAUCCGGGUUGCGGACAGUGUCUGGUGGGUAGUUUGACUGGGGCGGUCUCCUCCUAAAGAGUAACGGAGGAGCACGAAGGUUGGCUAAUCCUGGUCGGACAUCAGGAGGUUAGUGCAAUGGCAUAAGCCAGCUUGACUGCGAGCGUGACGGCGCGAGCAGGUGCGAAAGCAGGUCAUAGUGAUCCGGUGGUUCUGAAUGGAAGGGCCAUCGCUCAACGGAUAAAAGGUACUCCGGGGAUAACAGGCUGAUACCGCCCAAGAGUUCAUAUCGACGGCGGUGUUUGGCACCUCGAUGUCGGCUCAUCACAUCCUGGGGCUGAAGUAGGUCCCAAGGGUAUGGCUGUUCGCCAUUUAAAGUGGUACGCGAGCUGGGUUUAGAACGUCGUGAGACAGUUCGGUCCCUAUCUGCCGUGGGCGCUGGAGAACUGAGGGGGGCUGCUCCUAGUACGAGAGGACCGGAGUGGACGCAUCACUGGUGUUCGGGUUGUCAUGCCAAUGGCACUGCCCGGUAGCUAAAUGCGGAAGAGAUAAGUGCUGAAAGCAUCUAAGCACGAAACUUGCCCCGAGAUGAGUUCU
rnacentral:rRNA from 1 species